rnacentral:tRNA from 2 species
GCGGCCAUGGUGGAAUUGGCAGACACGCAGGAUUUAGGUUCCUGUAUCUCACGAUGUAUGGGUUCAAGUCCCAUUGGCCGCA